GCUGGUGCAGCAUCAUCAAGAUUCACAUGCAAAUGCAUUUCUUUGUCUUUCUCUCUCUCUUUCUCUCUGUCUAUCUAUUUUUUCUUGGUUUUGAAGGAUGAGAGUGAGAAUCUUGAUGAUGCUGCAUCGGC
rnacentral:pre_miRNA from 1 species